CUCCGACUUCUUCAGUGUGGUUGGAGAUGGCAUUCCUGGCUCCACUUCAUGCCAUCCACUUGACUGACUGCCACUUCCUGGGGAGCGCCCUUGGCCUGUAUAAAAUGGCUCCUCACCAGGACUGUCCAUUUCAUCCUCCACAGACUUGAGGCGCUUUGUGGAGCUCGUAGAGGAUGUGCUGGGUAAAGACCUCCUCAUUGCUCCUGGACUCAUGCUGU
rnacentral:lncRNA from 1 species